AAGUCGAACGGAAAGGCCUUUUCGGAGGUACUCGAGUGGCGAACGGGUGAGUAACACGUGGGUGAUCUGCCCUGCACUCUGGGAUAAGCCUGGGAAACUGGGUCUAAUACCGGAUAGGACCGCACUUUAGUGUGUGUGGUGGAAAGUUUUUUCGGUGUAGGAUGAGCCCGCGGCCUAUCAGCUUGUUGGUGGGGUAAUGGCCUACCAAGGCGGCGACGGGUAGUCGGACUGAGAGGUUGGUCGGCCACAUUGGGACUGAGAUACGGCCCAGACUCCUACGGGAGGCAGCAGUGGGGAAUAUUGCACAAUGGGCGCAAGCCUGAUGCAGCGACGCCGCGUGGGGGAUGACGGCCUUCGGGUUGUAAACUCCUUUCGCCAGGGACGAAGCGUUUUGUGACGGUACCUGGAGAAGAAGCACCGGCUAACUACGUGCCAGCAGCCGCGGCAAUACGUAGGGUGCAAGCGUUGUCCGGAAUUACUGGGCGUAAAGAGCUCGUAGGUGGUUUGUCACGUCGUCUGUGGAAUUCCACAGCUUAACUGUGGGCGUGCAGGCGAUACGGGCUGACUUGAGUACUGUAGGGGUAACUGGAAUUCCUGGUGUAGCGGUGAAAUGCGCAGAUAUCAGGAGGAACACCGAUGGCGAAGGCAGGUUACUGGGCAGUUACUGACGCUGAGGAGCGAAAGCAUGGGU
rnacentral:rRNA from 1 species